GUGAAUCAUCAAAUUUUUGAACGCAAAUUGCACUCUCUUCGGAGAGUAUGCCCGUUUGAGGGUUAGCCUAAAAAAAAUCGACAAAGUUGCUGUUACGCGGUAACAUUCGUCGGAAAUUGGGUGAUCCUAAACCUUUGGGUUUAAGCGGCUUAAAAUUUUUUUUACGAUUCCAAGUACGUUUUUAAGAUUUUAUUUUCUUUUCUGUUUAAGGUAUCGAUCUUUAUCAGUCGUGGCCGUGGAAUCG
rnacentral:misc_RNA from 1 species